rnacentral:rRNA from 1 species
UACGUAGGGUGCAAGCGUUGUCCGGAAUUAUUGGGCGUAAAGAGCUCGUAGGCGGUCUGUCGCGUCUGCUGUGAAAACUCAGGGCUUAACCCUGAGCUUGCAGUGGGUACGGGCAGACUAGAGUGCGGUAGGGGAGACUGGAAUUCCUGGUGUAGCGGUGAAAUGCGCAGAUAUCAGGAGGAAUACCGGUGGCGAAGGCAGGUCUCUGGGCCAUAACUGACGCUGGAGAAAGCGAAAAGCAUGGGGAGCGAACAGG